UACGUAGGGUGCAAGCGUUGUCCGGAAUUAUUGGGCGUAAAGGGCUCGUAGGCGGUUUGUCACGUCGGGAGUGAAAACUCAGGGCUCAACCCUGAGCGUGCUUCCGAUACGGGUAGACUAGAGGUAGGCAGGGGAGAACGGAAUUCCUGGUGUAGCGGUGAAAUGCGCAGAUAUCAGGAGGAACACCGGUGGCGAAGGCGGUUCUCUGGGCCUUACCUGACGCUGAGGAGCGAAAGCAUGGGGAGCAAACAGG
rnacentral:rRNA from 1 species